CCUACGGGUGGCUGCAGUGGGGGAUAUUGCACAAUGGGGGAAACCCUGAUGCAGCGACGCCGCGUGGGCGAAGAAGUAUUUCGGUAUGUAAAGCCCUAUCAGCAGGGAAGAAGAAAUGACGGUACCUGAGUAAGAAGCACCGGCUAAAUACGUGCCAGCAGCCGCGGUAAUACGUAUGGUGCAAGCGUUAUACGGAGUUACUGGGUGUAAAGGGAGCGCAGGCGGCACGGCAAGCCUGAUGUGAAAGCCCGCGGCCCAACCGCGGGACUGCAUUGGGAACUACCGGGCUGGAGUACUGGAGAGGCAGACGGAAUUCCUAGUGUAGCGGUGAAAUGCGUAGAUAUUAGGAGGAACACCAGUGGCGAAGGCGGUCUGCUGGACAGCAACUGACGCUGAGGCGCGAAAGCGUGGGGAGCAAACAGGAUUAGAUACCCGGGUAGUC
rnacentral:rRNA from 1 species